rnacentral:misc_RNA from 1 species
GAUGAAGAACGUAGCGAAAUGCGAUAAGUAGAGUGAAUUGCAGAAUUCAGUGAAUCAUCGAAUCUUUGAACGCACAUUGCGCCCCUUGGUAUUCCAUGGGGCAUGCCUGUUCGAGCGUCAUUUGUACCUUCAAGCUCUGCUUGGUGUUGGGUGAUUGUCUAUCUUUAUAGACUCGCCUUAAAGUCAUUGGCAGCCGGCAUAUUGGCCUGGGAGCGCAGCACAAGUCGCGCUUCUUGUCAUGAAUGUUGGCGUCCAGUAAGUCUACAUAUUUUGCUCUUGACCUCGGAUCAGGUAGGGAUACCCGCUGAACUUAAGCAUAUCAAUAAGCGGAGGA